rnacentral:rRNA from 1 species
UACGGGGGGGGCAAGCGUUGUUCGGAAUUACUGGGCGUAAAGGGCUCGUAGGUGGCCAACUAAGUCAGACGUGAAAUCCCUCAGCUUAACUGGGGAACUGCGUCUGAUACUGGAUGGCUUGAGUUUGGGAGAGGGAUGCGGAAUUCCAGGUGUAGCGGUGAAAUGCGUAGAUAUCAGGAGGAACACCUGCGGUGUAGACAGCUUUCUGGACCACUUCUGACGCUGAGACACGAAAGCGUGGGUAGCAAACAGG